AGAGUUUGAUCAUGGCUCAGGACGAACGCUGGCGGCAUGCCUAACACAUGCAAGUCGAACGGAGUUUAGUUUAAAAGCUUGCUUUUUCACUAAACUUAGUGGCGGACGGGUGAGUAACGCGUGGAUAACCUGCCUGUUAGACUGGGAUAACUCCGGGAAACCGGUGCUAAUACCAGAUAAAAAUUCUUUGGCGCAUGCCGAGGAAUUGAAAGGAUUCUGCUAACAGAUGGGUCCGCGUCCCAUUAGCUAGUUGGUGGGGUAACGGCCUACCAAGGCGACGAUGGGUAGCCGGCCUGAGAGGGUGACCGGCCACACUGGGACUGAGACACGGCCCAGACUCCUACGGGAGGCAGCAGUGGGGAAUAUUCCGCAAUGGGGGAAACCCUGACGGAGCAAUGCCGCGUGAGGGAAGAAUGCCUUCGGGUUGUAAACCUUUGUUCUAUGGGAAGAUAGUGACGGUACCAUAGGAGUAAGCCCCGGCUAACUACGUGCCAGCAGCCGCGGUA
rnacentral:rRNA from 1 species